rnacentral:rRNA from 1 species
CCCGCACAAGCGGUGGAUGAUGUGGUUUAAUCGAUGCAACGCGAAAACCUUACCACCUUUGACAUGGCAGGAAUCCUGAAGAGAUUUGGGAGUGCUCGAAAGAGGACCUGCACACAGGUGCUGCAUGGCUGUCGUCAGCUCGUGUCGCGAGAUGUUGGGUUAAGUCCCGCAACCGAGCGCAACCCUUGCCAUUAGUUGCUACGGAAAGGGCACUCUAAUGGGACUGCCGGUGACAAACCGGAGGAAGGUGGGGAUGACGUCAAGUCCUCAUGGCCCUUAUAGGUGGGGCUACACACGUCAUACAAUGGCCGGUACAGAGGGUAGCCAACCCGCGAGGGGGAGCCAAUCCCACAAAGCCGGUCGUAGUCCGGAUCGCAGUCUGCAACUCGACUGCGUGAAGUCGGAAUCGCUAGUAAUCGCGGAUCAGCAUGUCGCGGUGAAUACGUUCCCGGGUCUU